UCAAGGGGGAGUGAGUGACUACAGUAGCAGCAGCAACAAUGGCUGACAGUGUCAUACGCUGGCCUAGGGCUUUACAUGCAUCGAUUGGUUUAGUCCUCAUAGCAACCUAUAAUACUAUGUUCAUUCUUAUUUACCUGAGAAUGAGACUGAGGCACAGAAGGGAUGAGUGAUUUGAGCAAGAUCAUGCAAAUAGCCACUAUCAUAUGCCAAGAAGUGUUCCAAGCACUGAGGUUUCAAUAGUGACUAAGGAUCAGAGGCUGCAUUAUCCCGUGGUGGCUGUCUGCACACCAGAGAACCACAGAAUCCAGUAGCUGUUCAGUCCAAGACGCUGGAAGCCUCAGAACAAAAAGGAUGAAGGAUGCAGACCCAGUCUGCCUCUGAAGGCCUGGAAGCACCCUGGAGAAUCGCUGGUGCGAGUCCACCUUGAAAGACCGAAGAAGCUGGAACCUGAUGUCCGUGGAUGACAGCAGCAGAUAAAUGCACCUGUCCCAGCAGAAUGGAGCUUGCAAACGCUGCCCGGCUUCCUCCUUCUUCAGACAGGGCCAGCCACACUCAGGGCAAACCUCCCUCCCUCAGUUCGCUGAUCCACACGUCAUGGGCCUCUGGAAACACCCUCACAGGCACGCUCAGAAGUGUGCUUUAUUCAUCUCUCAAUCCAAUCAAGUUGGCAAUUAAAAUUAGGCAUUAUCAUCAA